GGACACCAGCCGCUCAUGAAAUUUUGCUUUAUGGUCCCCUGGUUUUAUCACUAAAAGAUUCAAGGAAAAUAGUAUUUAUGGUUACUGUAGAGUGUAUCAAUACACUAUUCAAGGGGAAUUGUUAACAUGUUAACUGCCAUAAAAUAUAAUGCCAGUCAUUGAUGACCACCAUGGUCUCAUUGUGAGAACAUGUGGUUACGGAUGAUUACCGUGGCAGUCAACAUGUUAAAGACUACGAAACACAUAGUACAUAAAUAUUAAAUUACUUUUCAUCCAAUUCGCAAAUAUUGGAGUAAAUUGUGCAGAUACUAUGGAGUCAAAUUUACAAAACUUCUAAUUCUCUCAUAUCAGGUAUUUUUCUUUCCUUUUUUAGUAUAUAUAUUUCAUACACUUUUAAUUCAUUUUCUUCUAUUGUGUAGCAGUAUCUGAAAUGCUUUGCCGCCAUGUAGCAUGGAAAGGAAUCUUCAAGAUUUUAACCCUUGUUUUAGGCAAUGCAGUCAAUAAAAGUUUUUGGAGUUGGGGUAAUGGUAAUAUAUCCACUUGAGGAUUUGUUAAAUUUGGUUGUUGUUUGUCAUCACCUUAAAAAUAAUAAAAAAGAUAUAAAAUUAAUUGGAAAAUAUAUUUAAAUUUUU